rnacentral:rRNA from 1 species
GACGAACGCUGGCGGCGUGCUUAACACAUGCAAGUCGAACGGAGAUUAUUAAUGAAGCUUGCGAUUUAAUAAUCUUAGUGGCGGACGGGUGAGUAACGCGUGGGCAACCUACCCAUAAGAGGGGGAUAACAGCUGGAAACGGCUGCUAAUACCGCAUAAACUUUUUAAGACACAUGUUUUAAAAAGGAAAGGUGGCGCAAGCUAUCGCUUAUGGAUGGGCCCGCGUCUGAUUAGCUAGUUGGUGGGGUAACGGCCUACCAAGGCAACGAUCAGUAGCCGGCCUGAGAGGGUGGACGGCCACACUGGGACUGAGACACGGCCCAGACUCCUACGGGAGGCAGCAGUGGGGAAUAUUGCGCAAUGGGGGAAACCCUGACGCAGCGACGCCGCGUGAGCGAAGAAGGCCUUAGGGUUGUAAAGCUCUGCUCUAUGGGACGAAGUCCUUGACUGUGAAUAAUGGUCAAGGUUGACGGUACCAUAGGAGGAAGCCCCGGCUAACUACGUGCCAGCAGCCG